CGGACGGGAUGGUUUAAUGCUGCCAUAUGGUCAGAAGCAGUAAAAUGAAUAUAACGUUUUGGGGUAGAAUUUUCAGUACAGAGAUCUCCUCAACGUGGCAUCUGGUGUACUAACGUCCUGUAGAGUUUCAAUCCUAUCCAGCACCUUGAUCUUGUAUUUGGAUGUCUCUGAAGCUGUUCAUUAGUUGCUGCAGCUGUGUGAAAUGAUGAGUGACGUUAGAUUUUAUAGGUAGGGAAUAUUUGAGGAGUAGCUACCCGGGCUAAAUAUUUUCUUGCUGAUCCAAAUCUUUCAGUGGGUCAGCUGGUGUGUCUUAGUUUAAUGCUGGAUUUUCACAUGUUCUCCUCAGGUCCAUGUGGCCUUCCAUAUCAGGUUCUCCAGUUUCUUCUUACCUCCUUGAAAUAACCAGGUAUGUGUAUCGGCUACUCGAUAUAUAUAUAUAUAUAAUGAAUAAAACUGUUAUAUAAUACUACUCCUUAGCUAGAUUUCCAUAGCAACAGCUGAUUCUAUUCUACAGCAGAUGUGCUAAGCUGGAGUACAUCCCCACCUCGCGAACUGUAAAUCCUUCAAAUCUGAAAAAAUAUUGACUCAAGUAAAGGUGUGGGCGAAUAUGGGAACGGUUGAAGGUGGGUGCCGAUUAUAUAAAGGUUACGUAAAGCACAGGGACGUUCAAUCUGUGCUUUCUUCCAGUUCAUCAGCCAAGAGAGUCAUCCUUUUAAUUUGCUUGCUAAUUACAUAAAAUAAUAUCACCAGGAUUUCACACCUCCAUCCUCGUGAAGCUCAGGAGCUGAGGUGAAUAAAUCCUCCUGGGAGUUUUAUCGCAAAUGCCCGUCGUCACGGCAAUCUCUGUUUACGACUGAUCGGAACAGGUGUCCGUGUCCUGCCAAGACCUGCUGAGCUGUGAGUUGUGGCUCUGUCGCUGUUGAUGUGAGCACUGCUGGUGUUGGAGCUGCAUGCUGAAAACAUCUCUGCGAGCAGAAGUCCACAGAGAGGCAGGAUGGAGAGGAAAGGAAGAGAACACUAAUGCAAUUGUGCAUUAAAUUCCCACAGUGUCCGUCGCGGC
ensembl:lncRNA